GCCGGGGUGGCGGAAUGGCAGACGCGACAGACUUAAAAUCUUUUAUCCGCAAGGGUGUGAGGGUUCGACUCCCUCCCCCGGCACCA
rnacentral:tRNA from 1 species